rnacentral:rRNA from 1 species
UACGGGGGGAGCAAGCGUUGUUCGGAUUUACUGGGCGUAAAGGGCGCGUAGGCGGCGCAACAAGUCACUUGUGAAAUCUCCGGGCUUAACUCGGAACGGUCAAGUGAUACUGUUGUGCUAGAGUGCGGAAGGGGCAACUGGAAUUCUCGGUGUAGCGGUGAAAUGCGUAGAUAUCGAGAGGAACACCUGCGGCGAGGGCGGGUUGCUGGGCCGACACUGACGCUGAUGCGCGAAAGCCAGGGGAGCGAACGGG